GACGAACGCUGGCGGCGUGCUUAACACAUGCAAGUCGAACGGAAAGGCCCUGCUUUUGUGGGGUGCUCGAGUGGCGAACGGGUGAGUAACACGUGAGUAACCUGCCCUUGACUUUGGGAUAACUUCAGGAAACUGGGGCUAAUACCGGAUAGGAGCUCCUGCUGCAUGGUGGGGGUUGGAAAGUUUCGGCGGUUGGGGAUGGACUCGCGGCUUAUCAGCUUGUUGGUGGGGUAGUGGCUUACCAAGGCUUUGACGGGUAGCCGGCCUGAGAGGGUGACCGGCCACAUUGGUACUGAGAUACGGCCCAGACUCCUACGGGAGGCAGCAGUGGCGAAUAUUGCACAAUGAGCGGAAGCCUGAUGCAGCAACGCCGCGUGCGGGAUGACGGCCUUCUGGUUGUAAACCGCUUUCGCCUGUGACGAAGCGUGAGUGACGGUAAUGGGUAAAGAAGCACCGGCUAACUACGUG
rnacentral:rRNA from 1 species